rnacentral:rRNA from 1 species
GGCGAACGCUGGCGGCGUGCUUAACACAUGCAAGUCGAGCGGUAAGGCCCUUUCGGGGGUACACGAGCGGCGAACGGGUGAGUAACACGUGGGUGACCUGCCCUCAGCUCUGGGAUAAGCCUGGGAAACUGGGUCUAAUACCGGAUAUGACUCCAUGACGCAUGUUGUGGGGUGGAAAGCCUUGUGCGGCUGAGGAUGGGCCCGCGGCCUAUCAGCUUGUUGGUGGGGUGAUGGCCUACCAAGGCGACGACGGGUAGCCGGCCUGAGAGGGCGACCGGCCACACUGGGACUGAGACACGGCCCAGACUCCUACGGGAGGCAGCAGUGGGGAAUCUUGCGCAAUGGGCGAAAGCCUGACGCAGCGACGCCGCGUGAGGGAUGACGGCCU